rnacentral:rRNA from 1 species
ACGCUCGACACCUACGGGGAGGCAGCAGUGGGGAAUAUUGCACAAUGGGGGAAACCCUGAUGCAGCGACGCCGCGUGAAGGAAGAAGUAUUUCGGUAUGUAAACUUCUAUCAGCAGGGAAGAAAAUGACGGUACCUGACUAAGAAGCCCCGGCUAACUACGUGCCGCAGCCGCGGUAAUCUGAGCGGGCUGGCAAGGC